rnacentral:lncRNA from 1 species
GCUAAAAGUGGAAUCACAUUCAAGUGAAAUUUACAACAUUCCUAGCAAGACAGUGUCAUAUGGACAAGGACCUCAGCAUUUCUAAUCUAUCUUUCAUCAACAAUGCCUAAAGGCAAUCAUAUCUCCCACCAAAUCUCUCAGACCAUCCUUUCAAUCAAGAACCAUACUGAAAUAUACACUUUUUUUUUGUUGUUCUUCUCAGCGCCAUUCACUGACUCCAAGCUCCUUAAUCGCAUGUAGAUUAAAGAAGAGGAAGGGCUAGAGGUGAUCCAUGUAGAUUAAAGAAGAGGAAGGGCUAGAGGUGAUCCAUGUAGAUUAAAGAAGAGGAAGGGCUAGAGGUGGUCCAUGUUUCGCCACUGGUAGAAACUCCAUGAACUCUGUGAAGAUAUUUUUCGUUUAGGGUUCCCAACUUCUGUGAACAAGACCCAGGAUCAAGUUCCCAAGUUGGUUCUAGGGUGUCUCAUUUUCCCAUACAAGUAGGCCCUAAGGAUUCUCAUACACAGUAAAAAGGAAGAAAAAAGAAAAAUCCAAACCCAGCUUGCUCAAUGGAGAAACCCUAACCCUAAACAUUAUGACUAAUAUACCCCUUGAAAAUAUCAAUGCACAUGCCUCCUACCAAAGAAGAGGAGGAAGAAAGAAUCUGAAGAGGAAGAAGAAAAAUGGGAUAAUUAACUGAUUGAUAAAGAAGAUACAAAACCCAAGUCUUCAUGAUUGAAUUAAACUCUAGAUACAAAGAAUAACACACAAAAAAAACCCACAAAGUAGGAAAGUAGUUCUUCACAGGCUGAGGCUAGUAAUUUUACAGUGAUAAUCAGCAAGGUUCACAUGUAAUGGUGAAGUUGGUUCGUCUCCAAAGACAACCUCCAUGAGUCAGUAAGGGAAAUUACAUACCAGUAAUACAGAUAAAAAAUCUCUCUACUACUCCUCUUUAGGCUCCUUAAACAUCUGGGACGGCAGGAGGUCCUCAAGAAGUCCAUGAUCUCUCAGCAGAGAAGCUGGAGAAGGACGGAGCCGUCUCUCAUGGAGGAAAGUGGGGUUAAUGGAGGAGGAAUUCAUGUGGUUGAAGUUCAAAGAAAGAGAAGAGUUAUUGAAAUAGGGUUGCUGCUGCUGC